UGAACUCCAGCGUCAAGUCGCGCCGCGUCAACCAAUCAGGAGCCUGGUGACGUGGCUGUAACCAGGUCAAAGGGGCAGAUCAAACCAAAGCCCUUCAUUCUUCAUUCAGUAUGGAGGAAAAACUCAUCAACGCAGUGGCUAAUCGUCCAGAACUAUACGAUGCUAGCUGCUACUUCUACCGGGACAGGAAUAAAAAGGACCGAGCUUGGAGGCACAGAAGUGAGGAGAUCGGGCAACCUGAACCAACUGAUUCUGCUGCAGAGCAUCCCGUUGCUUCUCCUGGCUCCCCAGUCCCUGAGCUCCUGCUGCUGCACCCACAGGUAUGUACAGCAAGCACUGAUAGCUCUUUACUCGGUGUGGGAUUGCCUUGUGAUCACCUUUACUAAAUAUCUACAACUAAUCUGAUUAUAUCCUGUUUUGUUUUUUCAAUGUUGAAAUUAAAAUCUAGUAGCAGCCUUCUCA